AUAGAAUCCAGGAGCCAGUCUAGAGAGUAAAUGUUUAGAACAGCUCUCACCAAACUGAAUGUGUUCCAUCUGAUUUUUGGGGAGUGGGAAUCCCUACAUCUUCAUGGUAACAGGGAAGGAUAGUCUGUAAGCAACCUAAGUUGAGGUUGGAAGGGGAUCCCUAGGGGCUGGCUCAGUUGGUGGAGUACCUGCCUCACAUGCACAAGGCCCUGUGUUCAAUCCCCAGCAUCACAAAAAGAAAGAAAAAGAAAAUGGCAGAAUCAAGCAUCCUUGCCCCUUGAGGGCUGUUAAGCACCCCCCUUUUAGAAUUGGAGAUUGAGCCCCGGGACUUGAGCAUUGGUAAGCCCUCUAUCACUGCAUCCCCAAUCCAUAUCCCCCAUCUUAACUCUCUGUCCCCUGGAGAGCAAGGGACUAGUAACUGCCCCCAAAAGUUUAGCUGUGAUCAGAGACUGGAAGAGGGAGGGUGAGAGGUGAUCAGCUGAGCUGCACUCUAUAAAGGGGGCCACGGAAUGCACACAUACCCCCAGGCCCACAGCUGGUGAGGCCACUCAUUUAGUUUCUGCCUUGGAUUUCCUCAAACUACAGACCAUAGAAUUGUAGCACUAGAAGAGUCUCAGCGGGGUGCAGUGACUUGCACCUGGAAUCCCAGCAAAUCGGGAGGCUGAGACAGGAAGAUCGCACGUUCAUGGCCAGCCUGGGCAACUUUGAGGUCCUGUCUCAAAAUAGAAAAGGACUGUGGCUAUAACUCAAUGGUAGAGUGCCCCUGGGUUCAACCCCCAGUACUUACUGAGAGGAAAAAAAUAAAUAAAUAAAGGGUUGGGUCCGCCCAGAAGUACACAGAGC
rnacentral:lncRNA from 1 species